AUUGAACGCUGGCGGCAGGCCUAACACAUGCAAGUCGAGCGGAUGAAGGGAGCUUGCUCCUGGAUUCAGCGGCGGACGGGUGAGUAAUGCCUAGGAAUCUGCCUGGUAGUGGGGGAUAACGUCCGGAAACGGGCGCUAAUACCGCAUACGUCCUGAGGGAGAAAGUGGGGGAUCUUCGGACCUCACGCUAUCAGAUGAGCCUAGGUCGGAUUAGCUAGUUGGUGGGGUAAAGGCCUACCAAGGCGACGAUCCGUAACUGGUCUGAGAGGAUGAUCAGUCACACUGGAACUGAGACACGGUCCAGACUCCUAAGGGAGGCAGCAGUGGGGAAUAUUGGACCAUGGGCGAAAGCCUGAUCCAGCCAUGCCGCGUGUGUGAAGAAGGUCUUCGGAUUGUAAAGCACUUUAAGUUGGGAGGAAGGGCAAUAAGUUAAUACCUUGCUGUUUUGACGUUACCAACAGAAUAAGCACCGGCUAACUUCGUG
rnacentral:rRNA from 1 species